AGAUCAGACCAGGUAUGGGAGCAAAUGCCUU
rnacentral:piRNA from 1 species